CAGUAGCCACGGGAAUACGAGGGGGGCAAGCGUUGUUCGGAAUUAUUGGGCGUAAAGGGUGCGUAGGCGGUCUGAUAAGUCUGAUGUGAAAUCUAUGGGCUCAACCCAUAGUCUGCAUUAGAAACUGUCGGGCUUGAGUAUGGGAGAGGUGAGUGGAAUUUCCGGUGUAGCGGUGAAAUGCGUAGAUAUCGGAAGGAACACCUGUGGCGAAAGCGGCUCACUGGACCAUUACUGACGCUGAUGCACGAAAGCUAGGGGAGCAAACAGGAUUAGAUACCCCAGUAGUCCCUGUCUCUUAUAC
rnacentral:rRNA from 1 species